UUAAGCCAUGCAUGUCUAAGUACAAGCCGCUAGUACGGCGAAACCGCGAAUGGCUCAAUAAAUCAGUUAUGGUUCCUUAGAUCCACCCAUCCUACUCGGAUAACUGUGGUAAUUCUAGAGCUAAUACGUGCACUCAAGCUUCUUCACGCUGAUCGCACGGUCUCGCACCGGCGACACGUCUUUCAAAUGUCUGCCUUAUCAACUGUCGAUGGUAGGUUAUGCGCCUACCAUGGUUGCAACGGGUAACGGGGAAUCGGGGUUCGAUUCCGGAGAGGGAGCCUGAGAAACGGCUACCACAUCCAAGGAAGGCAGCAGGCGCGCAAAUUACCCACUCCCGGCACGGGGAGGUAGUGACGAAAAAUAACGAUACGGGACUCUUCCGAGGCCCCGUGAUUGGAAUGAGUACACUUUAAAACCUUUAACGAGGACCCAUUGGAGGGCAAGUCUGGUGCCAGCACCCGCGGUAACUCCAGCUCCAAUAGCGUAUAUUAAAGUUGUUGCGGUUAAAAAGCUCGUACUCGGAUGUCUGUCUUCGGCCGGGCGGCGC
rnacentral:rRNA from 1 species